UACGUAGGGUGCAAGCGUUAAUCGGAAUUACUGGGCGUAAAGCGUGCGCAGGCGGUUUUAUAAGACAGAUGGGAAAUCCCCGGGCUCAACCUGGGAACUGCAUUUGUGACUGUAGAGCUGGAGUACGGCAGAGGGGGAUGGAAUUCCGCGUGUAGCAGUGAAAUGCGUAGAUAUGCGGAGGAACACCGAUGGCGAAGGCAAUCCCCUGGGCCUGUACUGACGCUCAUGCACGAAAGCGUGGGGAGCAAACAGG
rnacentral:rRNA from 1 species